AUCUUUUAUGUUUGACUGAGGGGUGAGAGAACUAUGAAGUUAGCUUCGUAGAAUUCUGUUGAGUCUAUACUGCCAAGAAAAGCCUCGUUGAUUAGAUUUUUUGAAGACCGUACCGCAAACCAACACAGGUAGACAGGGAUAAACGUCCCAAGGCCUUCGAGAGAACCAUCGUUAAGGAACUCGGCAAAUUGACCCCGUAACUUAGGGAGAAGGGGGACCUUUUAUGUAUAUGAGCUUGCCUCAAAAAGCAUUAAAGGUAGCAUAAAAUAGGUUGAAGCGACUGUUUAUCAAAAACACAGGUCCAUGCCAAAGCGAAAGCUGAUGUAUAUGGGCUGACGCCUGCCCAGUGCCGGUAGGUUAAGGAAGGUGGUGCAAGCUACUGACUGAAGCCCCGGUGAACGGCGGCCGUAACUAUAACGGUCCUAAGGUAGCGAAGUCCCUUGUCGGGUAAGUUCCGACCCGCACGAAUGGCGUAACGACUUCAACACUGUCUCAACGAUGGACUCGGUGAAAUUGCAGGACCGGUAAAGAUGCCGGUUACGCGCAGCAGGACAAAAAGACCCCGUGGAGCUUUACUGCAACUUGGCAUUGGUUCGAGUUUUAAAAUGUGUAGGAUAGGCGGGAGACUAUGAACUUCAGGCGUUAGCCUGGGGGGAGUCGCCCUUGAAAUACCGCCCUUUUUAUGAUUUGAACCUAACUAUUUAGAACAGUGUCUGGUGGGCAGUUUGACUGGGGCGGUCGCCUCCCAAAGAGUAACGGAGGCGUACAAAGGUCACCUCAGGCUGGAUGGAAAUCAGCUUUUGAGUGCAUUGGCAUAAGUGGCUUGACUGCGAGACCUACAAGUCGAGCAGGGACGAAAGUCGGUCAAAGUGAUCCCACGAUUCCGAGUGGAAGGGUCGUGGCUUAACGGAUAAAAGCUACCCCGGGGAUAACAGGCUUAUCUUGCCCAAGAGUCCAUAUCGACGGCAAGGUUUGGCACCUCGAUGUCGGCUCGUCGCAUCCUGGGGCUGAAGAAGGUCCCAAGGGUCGGGCUGUUCGCCCGUUAAAGCGGCACGCGAGCUGGGUUCAGAGCGUCGUGAGACAGCUCGGUCUCUAUCCGCUGUGCGCGUAGGAUAUUUGAAGGAAUUUGCUCCUAGUACGAGAGGACCGGAGUGAGCAAACCAAUGGUGUAUCGGUUGUGACGCCAGUCGCAUUGCCGAGUAGCUAAGUUUGUUAGGGAUAAGCGCUGAAAGCAUCUAAGUACGAAGCCCCUCCUGAGAUAAGAUAUCCCAUCUCUUUAUGAGAGUAAGAUCCCCGGUAGACUACCGGGUUGAUAGGCUACAUGUGUAAGCAUAGCAAUAUGUUCAGCUAAGUAGUACUAAUAGAUCGAGGAUUUAAAUU
rnacentral:rRNA from 1 species